AAACACAUACCAAAGCAACAAAUCUAUGGUGAUGGGAAUAAUCGUUCUCAGAUUCUAACUAUUCUCAAGCAUCAAAAGAAAGAAAUUGAGGAGCUUUGAGCCAAAUUGCAGACUGAGUUAGAGAGGAAGCGAAUGGCUUUCAAGUUGGAGGAGGAAAAAAACAGCCCAAGUUGAAAGAUAGAAGAUGGUGCAACAGCAAGCUAAGAAAAUUGAGAACCUGAGCUCAAUGGUGUUGUAUUCAAAUAGAGAUGAGAAUGAAAAAUAACUACU